UACAGAGGGUGCGAGCGUUGUCCGGAAUCACUGGGCGUAAAGGGCGCGUAGGUGGUGGCUUAAGCGUGCGGUGAAAGCUCGGGGCUCAACCCCGAGUCGGCCGUGCGAACUGGGCUCACUGGAGCAUAGUAGAGGCAGGUGGAAUUCCGGGUGUAGCGGUGGAAUGCGUAGAGAUCCGGAAGAACACCGGUGGCGAAGGCGGCCUGCUGGGCUAUGGCUGACACUGAGGCGCGACAGCGUGGGGAGCAAACAGGAUUGAG
rnacentral:rRNA from 1 species